UACGAAGGGGGCGAGCGUUGUUCGGAAUUACUGGGCGUAAAGGGCGCGUAGGCGGCCCUCUUUGUCGCGUGUGAAAGCCCCGGGCUCAACCUGGGAACGGCGCGCGAAACGGGGGGGCUGGAGUUCGGGAGAGGAGCGUGGAAUUCCCAGUGUAGAGGUGAAAUUCGUAGAUAUUGGGAAGAACACCGGUGGCGAAGGCGGCGCUCUGGACCGAGACUGACGCUGAGGCGCGAAAGCGUGGGGAGCAAACAGGAUUAGAUACCCUGGUAGUCCACGCCGUAAACGAUGUGUGCUAGACGUUGGGGGGCCUAGCCCCUCGGUGUCGCAGCCAACGCUUUAAGCACACCGCCUGGGGAGUACGGCCGCAAGGUUAAA
rnacentral:rRNA from 1 species